UACGUAGGGUGCAAGCGUUGUCCGGAAUUAUUGGGCGUAAAGAGCUCGUAGGUGGUUUGUCGCGUUGUUCGUGAAAUCUCACGGCUUAACUGUGAGCGUGCGGGCGAUACGGGCAGACUAGAGUACUGCAGGGGAGACUGGAAUUCCUGGUGUAGCGGUGGAAUGCGCAGAUAUCAGGAGGAACACCGGUGGCGAAGGCGGGUCUCUGGGCCGUUACUGACGCUGAGGAGCGAAAGCGUGGGGAGCGAACAGG
rnacentral:rRNA from 1 species